UUCCUGUACUGCAGUAUAACAGAACUGUGGGGACACGUAAAGAGAGCGGGAGCCGGGAAUGGAAGGCCCGGUACAAGCGAGGUACCAGUAUGGUAGGAAAAACCGCCAUGCAAUGGGAAGACGUGAUGUGGAGUGAAAUAUAGUAACGAAGCCCGUGAGCCAUGCGUCAAGAAAAGCCGCUAUUGUUUAUAUUGUACCCGUACCGUAAACCGACACAGGUGGAUGAGGAGAGAAUCCUAAGGCCGGCGGAAGAAGUAAUGCCAAGGAACUCGGCAAAAUGGCCCCGUAACUUAGGGAGAAGGGGUGCCUGCGAGAGCAGGCCGCAGAGAAUAGGCUCAAGCAACUGUUUAGCAAAAGCACAGGUCUAUGCGAAACCGAAAGGUGAGGUAUAUGGGCUGACGCCUGCCCGGUGCUGGAAGGUUAAGAGGAGAGGUUAGACGCAAGUCGAAGCUUUGAAUUUAAGCCCCAGUAAACGGCGGCCGUAACAAUAACGGUCCUGAGGUAGCGAAAUUCCUUGUCGGGUAAGUUCCGACCCGCACGAAAGGCGUAAUGAUUUGAGCGCUGUCUCGGCAAUACAUCCGGUGAAAUUGAAGUGCCAGUGAAGAUGCUGGCUACCCGCGCCAGGACGGAAAGACCCCAUGGAGCUUUACUCCAGUUUGGCACUGGGGUCCGGUGUUGCAUGUACAGGAUAGGUGGGAGGCUGAGAGAUAGUGACGUCAGUUGCUAUGGAGCCGCUGUUGGGAUACCACCCUUGUGAUAUUGGGCUUCUAACCAGCCGCCGUGAACCGGCGGUGGGACAAUGCCAGGCGGGGAGUUUGACUGGGGCGGUCGCCUCCGAAAGGGUAUCGGAGGCGCCCAAAGGUUCCCUCAGAAUGGACGGAAACCAUUCGAAGAGUGCAAAGGCAGAAGGGAGCUUGACUGCGACACCGACGGGUGGAGCAGGUACGAAAGUAGGGCUUAGUGAUCCGGUGGUAUUAAGUGGGAAUGCCAUCGCUCAACGGAUAAAAGCUACCCUGGGAUAACAGGCUUAUCACUCCCAAGAGUUCACAUCGACGGAGUGGUUUGGCACCUUGAUGUCGGCUCAUCGCAUCCUGGGGCUGUAGUAGGUCCCAAGGGUUGGGCUGUUCGCCCAUUAAAGCGGUACGCGAGCUGGGUUCAGAACGUCGUGAGACAGUUCGGUCCCUAUCCGGCGUGGGCGUAGGAUAUCUGAGAGGAGCUGUCCUUAGUACGAGAGGACCGGGAUGGACGGACCGCUGGUGGACCGGUUGGCUUGCCAAAGCCAUGGCCGGGUAGCCAAGUCCGGAAGGGAUAAACGCUGAAGGCAUCUAAGCGUGAAGCCCCCCUCAAGAUGAGAUAUCCCAUUCUUUAAGAAGUAAACCCCCUUGAAGACGACGAGGUAGAUAGGGCAGAGGUGGAAGUGUGGUAACACAUGGAGCUGACUGUUACUAAUCGGGUGAGGGCUUGACCAU
rnacentral:rRNA from 1 species